rnacentral:rRNA from 1 species
CCUACGGGGGGCUGCAGUGAGGAAUAUUGGUCAAUGGACGAGAGUCUGAACCAGCCAAGUAGCGUGAAGGAUGACUGCCCUAUGGGUUGUAAACUUCUUUUGUCGGGGAGCAAAGCGAACCACGUGUGGUUCAUUGAGAGUACCCGAAGAAAAAGCAUCGGCUAACUCCGUGCCAGCAGCCGCGGUAAUACGGAGGAUGGGAGCGUUAUCCGGAUUUAUUGGGUUUAAAGGGAGCGUAGAUGGGUUGUUAAGUCAGUUGUGAAAGUUUGCGGCUCAACCGUAAAAUUGCAAUUGAUACUGGCAGUCUUGAGUACAGGUGAGGUAGGCGGAAUUCGUGGUGUAGCGGUGAAAUGCUUAGAGAUCACGAAGAACCCCGAUUGCGAAGGCAGCUUACUAAACUGUGACUGACAUUGAUGCUCGAAAGUGUGGGUAUCAAACAGGAUUAGAUACCCUGGUAGUC